rnacentral:rRNA from 1 species
GACGAACGCUGGCGGCGUGCUUAACACAUGCAAGUCGAGCGGUAAGGCCCUUUCGGGGUACGACGAGCGGCGAACGGGUAGAGUAACACGUGGGUGGACCUCGCCCUCCAGCUCUGGGAGUAAGCCUGGGAAACCGGGGUACUAAUACUGGAUAUGACUCCAUGACGCAUGUUGUGGGGUGGAAAGACCUUGUGCGGCUGAGGAUGGGCCCGCGGCCUAUCAGCUUGUUGGUGGGGUGAGGCCUACCAAGG